rnacentral:sRNA from 1 species
UAAAAGACUCGAGAAAUAACAUAAAGACUCAAAAUCC